UCAGGCCUAACACAUGCAAGUCGAGCGGGGACUUCGGUCCUAGCGGCGAACGGGUGAGGAAUGCUUGGGAAUCUGCCCAGUAGUGGGGGAUAACGUUUCGAAAGGAACGCUAAUACCGCAUACGUCCUACGGGAGAAAGGGGGGGAUCUUCGGACCUCUCGCUAUUGGAUGAGCCCAAGUCGGAUUAGCUAGUUGGUGAGGUAAAGGCUCACCAAGGCGACGAUCCGUAGCUGGUCUGAGAGGAUGAUCAGCCACACUGGAACUGAGACACGGUCCAGACUCCUACGGGAGGCAGCAGUGGGGAAUAUUGGACAAUG
rnacentral:rRNA from 1 species